rnacentral:tRNA from 1 species
AGGUCCGUUGGUCAAGGGGUUAAGACACCGCCUUUUCACGGCGGUAACACGGGUUCGAAUCCCGUACGGAUUUU